rnacentral:rRNA from 1 species
ACAGCUAAUACACGCAUCAAAACCCCGACUUGGAAGGGGUGCGUUAGUUACUUCUAGACUUCGGUCUGGUUCCAAGUGAAAUUGAACUAUUUAGCUGAUCGCAGCACCGGCGACAUAUCCUUCAAAUGUCUGCCUUAUCAACUUUCGAUGGUAGAUUAUGCGCCUACCAUGGUUGUAACGGGUAACGGAGAAUCAGGGUUUGAUUCCGGAGAGGGAGCCUGAGAAAUGGCUACCACAU